ensembl:lncRNA
AGAGCAGAGUGAACCCUGAUGCAGAUAAACGGGAAGAUCUGAGAAAGGACCUGUUUUCUGGCUGGUGGGAUGCAAGCCCUGGCUGAAGCCUUACGCAGCAGCUCCUGUUGCAAGUCUUUGCCCUUCCUCUUGACUCCCACCCCUCAACCAUGGUUCUUGUUCUAGAAACUUGAUUCUUGCCUGAGUCCUUAUUCCAUCCCUUGUGUCCAGUUAUAUCCGGGUACAGAUGGCUGAUCCUUGACUGCACCGGCUGCUUUGAUCCUGCUGGUUUUGCUUCUCUCUGUUCUCCAUGUCUGUGCCCUCUUCCUUUCCAGCCCCUCAUGCUCUGAAUAUCCAGCCUUGGAACUCCUGCUUGCUGAUCUCUUUAGGGGCAAGUAUAGUCCUAGCACCACCAGAUCCCCUCAGUUGUUAUCCCACCCCAAAAGCUUUCUUUCACUUUCUCCAUAAGGAAACUCUCCCAUCUCCUUAAGUAGCAUUUUCUGUAACAUCCUCCACUGUACGAUGUGUAAAAAUAGAAUGCUAAAGUCAGAUCAUGUGAUCACCACCUCUUUCAGAUUCUGAACAUAUUGCAGACACGUUAGUAGAGAAAGGAGUUUUGCUCUGUACAUCUGACUGUGGGGUUUUGGCCAUUGUGGCUGGCCCAGCGCCAGGUGGUCCACAGCACCCACUUUGGGAAACAUCGCCCUUUCUGCUGACGUGCAGCAUGGUACAGCAGCUGAGUGCUUUGAUAGGGGCCCACACUGCCUCUUAGUGGAAUCACCUUGGACGAGUAGUUAAUCUCAUCUUCAUCUGUAAAACCAGGCUGACUGUAAUAUAUUGCUUUAUAAGGAUAUAAUAGAGGAGUUCCCGUCGUGGCUCAGUGGUUAACGAAUCUGACUAGGAGCCGUGAGGUUGUGGGUUCGAUCCCUGGCCUCGCUCAGUGGGUUGAGGAUCUGGCGUUGCCGUGAGCUAUGCUGUGGGUUGCAGACGUGGCUCAGAUCCCGUGUUGCUGUGGCUCUGGCAUAGGCUGGCAGCUACAACUCCGAUUAGGCCCCUAGCCUGGGAACCUUCACAUGCCGCAGGAGCGGCCCUAGAAAUGGCAAAAAGACAAAAAAAAAAAAAAAGAUAUAAAAGAAUCACUGAAGAAAGGUGCUUAUUGUAAUAGUAACUAGAAUAUUAUAGCCACUUAAUAAGUGAUAUUUGUUAUUAUUUUUUGUAUGUUCUUUUGGGCCAUCUCUGGUUCUGUAGUCUACAAUGUCUUGAAGGUGUUCUUUCUUGGUAAUAAUUAACACCCCAGAGGGCAGCCACCUUGUGCAAACAUUUUAGAUAAUUUCUGUAUAAUUUAUGAUUUUUACAUGUGUAUCCAAUAAAGCUUCUUUGCCAUAGUUUGCUCACUUCUGCAACCCCAAGCAGUCCUUUUGCACUUUAUUUAGUCACUUGAAUAGUGCCUGAAUUUAAACAAAAUUUCCACGAUGGUUGGGGGAAAAAAAUCUACUUUUGUCUCUGCCUCAAAACAGAUGGGAAAUGAUUCAGAACAAGGCAAUCUCUAGAGUUACAAAUAGUGUCCUUUCUUUGGGGAGAAAGAAUGACUUAUUUUUUUGUGCCUAUGCCAAAGUCUGGGAUAAAAUUAAGUUACUCCUUGUUUAUAUCCUUUUUCCUGUGUUAUCUCCCACUGUCUGGCCACUGUGCCCACUCUGAGUGAAGCAGCCACUCUCCACCAAAAGCUUGUAGCUCAAAGGAACAAAACCGAUCUCUUAAAAACAAACAAAAAA